rnacentral:rRNA from 1 species
UACAGAGGUCCCAAGCGUUGUUCGGAUUCACUGAGCGUAAAGGGUGCGUAGGUGGCCGGGUAAGUCUGAUGUGAAAUCUCCGAGCUUAACUCGGAAAUGGCAUUGGAUACUAUUCGACUGGAGGGUUGGAGGGGGGACUGGAAUUCUCGGUGUAGCAGUGAAAUGCGUAGAUAUCGAGAGGAACACCAGUGGCGAAGGCGGGUCUCUGGACAGUUCCUGACACUGAGGCACGAAGGCCAGGGGAGCAAACGGG